UAUUAAGAAUUUUUUCAUAGGCCAUCAUAAAGAUGGUUGCUAAUAUUUAUUUGAGAAGUUCUAUUAAUUUUGAUGUUGGCAGACAAUGGAACAAUGAAAAGAACCAGUGGGUCGGUCCUCUUGUCUUCCUCUUCUCUCUCCCUCUCCUUAUGUUGGUGUCUCCAGUGAGUCCCUUAACUUGUCAAGUCUCAUCAGUUCAGCUAACAUUGGACCCACCUGAGGCUUAACCUCUAACAAGUUGUUUGGGUGUUAUCAGAUAUGGUCCUUGAGUGUAGCAUGGCCCACGUGUUAACUAAACUACAAAGAGGACAUUAUCUGUUGGACAGGAAGAGGAAACCACUUGAAGAACCAACCAGGGUUGAAUCAGUUGAUCCAGUACAAUUCAAUAUGACACAAGAUUAAUAAUGAACCACAUUAGGUCAGUGAAUCUAUUAUUAAU